UACAGAGGGUGCUAGCGUUGUUCGGAAUCAUUGGGCGUAAAGGGCGUGUAGGCGGUUUGUUAAGUCAUGUGUGAAAGCCCCCGGCUCAACCGGGGAACGACGCAUGAAACUGGCAAGCUAGAGUACCGAAGAGGGGGGUGGAAUUCCCGGUGUAGCGGUGAAAUGCGUAGAUAUUGGGAGGAACACCAGUGGCGAAGGCGGCUUACUGGACCGGUUCUGACGCUGAGGCGCGAAAGCGUGGGGAGCAAACGGG
rnacentral:rRNA from 1 species